rnacentral:rRNA from 1 species
GUAGGUGGCAAGCGUUGUCCGGAAUUAUUGGGCGUAAAGCGCGCGCAGGCGGUUCUUUAAGUCUGAUGUGAAAGCCCACGGCUCAACCGUGGAGGGUCAUUGGAAACUGGAGAACUUGAGUACAGAAGAGGAAAGCGGAAUUCCACGUGUAGCGGUGAAAUGCGUAGAGAUGUGGAGGAACACCAGUGGCGAAGGCGGCUUUCUGGUCUGUAACUGACGCUGAGGCGCGGAAGCGUGGGGGAGCAAACAGGAUUAGAUACCCUGGUAGUCCACGCCGUAAACGAUGAGUGCUAAGUGUUAGGGGGUUUCCGCCCCUUAGUGCUGCAGCUAACGCAUUAAGCACUCCGCCUGGGAGUACGGCCGCAAGGCUG